GAUGAACGCUGGCGGCGUGCCUAAUACAUGCAAGUCGAGCGAACAGACGAGGAGCUUGCUCCUCUGACGUUAGCGGCGGACGGGUGAGUAACACGUGGAUAACCUACCUAUAAGACUGGGAUAACUUCGGGAAACCGGAGCUAAUACCGGAUAACAUGUUGAACCGCAUGGUUCAACAGUGAAAGACGGUCUUGCUGUCACUUAUAGAUGGAUCCGCGCCGCAUUAGCUAGUUGGUAAGGUAACGGCUUACCAAGGCAACGAUGCGUAGCCGACCUGAGAGGGUGAUCGGCCACACUGGAGCUGAGACACGGUCCAGAAUACUACGGGAGGCAGCAGUAGGGAAUCUUCCGCAAUGGGCGAAAGCCUGACGGAGCAGCGCCGCGUGAGUGAUGAAGGUCUUCGGAUCGUAAAACUCUGUUAUUAGGGAAGAACAAAUGUGUAAGUAACUAUGCACGUCUUGACGGUACCUAAUCAGAAAGCCACGGCUAACUACGU
rnacentral:rRNA from 1 species